rnacentral:rRNA from 1 species
GGAUGAACGCUGGCGGCGUGCCUAAUACAUGCAAGUCGAGCGAACAGAUAAGGAGCUUGCUCCUUUGACGUUAGCGGCGGACGGGUGAGUAACACGUGGGUAACCUACCUAUAAGACUGGAAUAACUCCGGGAAACCGGGGCUAAUGCCGGAUAAUAUUUAGAACCGCAUGGUUCUAAAGUGAAAGAUGGUUUUACUAUCACUUAUAGAUGGACCCGCGCCGUAUUAGCUAGUUGGUGGGGUAAUGGCUUACCAAGGCAACGAUACGUAGCCGACCUGAGAGGGUGAUCGGCCACACUGGAACUGAGACACGGUCCAGACUCCUACGGGAGGCAGCAGUAGGGAAUCUUCCGCAAUGGGCGAAAGCCUGACGGAGCAACGCCGCGUGAGUGAUGAAGGUCUUCGGAUCGUAAAACUCUGUUAUUAGGGAAGAACAAAUGUGUAAGUAACUGUGCACGUCUUGACGGUACCUAAUCAGAAAGCCACGGCUAACUACGUGCCAGCAGCCGCGGUAAUAC